GUACUAUAUAAGUGCAGACCAUUUACCAUUUUACCAUUUAUUUCUGUUAUGUAGUUAAAUUUUUUCUUAGAAUUCUGACUAUAAACUCAGACUCUGUUUACACUUGAUUUUAACAUGUCUUGGGUGAUCGGACCACAAGUGGACAGCUGAUAAACAUCACUGUUCACACAUGUCCAUAGGUAGAACAGAAAAGAUAUUGUAUUCCGUCAAAUGUCCCAGACCACCUUGGCAAGUAGUUUGAGUGCUAGGAUCACAAAGUGUCUUAGUGGUUGUUUAUACUUUCUGUCUACUUGGAAUCUGAUCACCCAAGGCACUUUUUAAAACCACUGUCUAGACAAUGUGACACAACACAUAAUUAAGUGUUCUCUUCUCCUGUGUGUAGCAGCAGCCGUGGCUGGAUGAUGGUUGCUGUCCUGCAGCUUUCUGUUGUCCGCAGCAUCCUGUUCUUUGUCACUCUGGUCCUGUGGACAGAUGAACAGUACGACUAUGGUGAUGUAGAUUCAGUCAACCCCAACUUGUAUGUGAACGCUAUCAUAGGCGUGUCAACGUUUGUGUCCUUCUACGGCCAUCUUCUGUUUUAUAAAGCCACCAACAGUGCUUUACAAGGCUAUGGACUGAGAGCUAAGUUCAUCUGCAUCAUUGUGGGGCUAGUGCUGUGUGGACUGCAAAGCGGCAUCUUAGAGACCAUGGGUGCUCUGGAGGUUAUCCCCUGCACACCACCCUUCUCUGUCCUGGCCAGGUCACAGUGUAAGUCACAGCACAUCCAUCCUCCUCAGUCUAAGUUGCAAAUGAUGUUCACAGUUCCGUCUGUAAUUCAUUCGGUUGACAUCACAGUCCAGUUUGUACAAAACCAAGUCAGUUUCAAACACAAGAAAGCAAGUUUUUGAUUUGCUCUGAUAAUUCACCUUGACAGCAAUUGUCGAGGUGAGGUGAACAGGUGUAUUGAAGCCCAAGUGCUAAAAAAACACAAGAUAAGAUAGACAGUAUGUAGUGCGGUCAGACAGACAGUAUGCAAAAACAAAAGGUAUGUAUAAGUUACAAUAAAAAAAUAAUAGCAAAGCCAAUCACAGUAACUGAGCGAUAUACUAAAGUGCAUAUGCUAAACUAUAUAUUUGUCCCGCUGAUGUAUGUUUGUGGACAUACUGUAUAUGUCAUUGGGGCCUGCAGUCACUGAAAAUCGCUUAAUACUUUUGAAAAAGUAGAUGACCGAACUAAAGUAGAAGAAUUUGUACAAUUGUACAAGAGAAAAAUUAUAAUUUAAUUAAAAACUCAUGAAUAAUGAAAAUUUCUUUACCAAUUCAUAUUCAGUAUUGCCACUUUGAUUCUGUCUCUGCCCCUCAGAUCUGUGUCUUUUGUUCUCCUUCUGAUCUCAGUGAUCUACCACUACUGUGUGAUUGUUGAGAUGUUCUGCAUUGGUCUCUAUGCCUGCCAUACAUUUCGCAAAGUGGAGCCAAGCAUGAUGGCAGAUGUGGGUGUGAAUGUCUGGCAGGUGGAAAAGGCUGUUCAAACAGAUGAUGAUAAGGUGACACAUCAUAAGCUUGGCCUGCUGUCGGAAGAGGCUCGGCCCACCAGCUGUCUCUUCACCAUCUCCAAUACCACUUACAACAGUGACAGCGAGGACAGCCUGUGCAGGAUAGAACAUGCACCUCUGGAUGGUUUCCUCUUUCCUCAGGCCAGAGGUCAGCGGCAAUGCAGACCAGAAACAGUGGAGCCCAGGUCUGCAGAGGACCCUAGUGUAGACCUGACACACAUUACUGUCCGGGCUGAUAUCAACUAUAAAGACUGUAAGGAUGUCACUGUAGUUUGAUCAACAACAGAAAGUCUUUAACCAAAGAAUAGAAAACACUGAGGCUAAAUUAGGAAUACAUAGAUUGUGAUUAGCUUGUGAUUUAAAAAAAACAAUUGUGUAAUGAUUUUGCUGUCUUUAGCAGUUGUGCACUGAAGAAGAAAAGGUGUGCAGAAAAAUAAGAAGAUUUGUGAUCAAUUUGUAAAUAAAAAACAAUCUUAAGUCAAAAUUAUUAAAAGAAGAAUAAAAAGUUAG
rnacentral:lncRNA from 1 species